rnacentral:lncRNA from 1 species
UUGCAAGUUAAUGAUCUCAUGUUUCAUAUUUAUUACCCUAAAUUUCAAGUUCAUUAAUUAAAUUAUUUUCAUGGUUUUAAGUUAAUGAUAACAUAUUUUAUGUCUAUUGCCCUAAAUUUCAAGUUUCAUUUGUUUUAUGUUUAAUGGCUGAAAUAUCAAGUUAAUGGUCAUGAUUUUAUUUUUAUUAGUCCAUUAAUUAAAUAAUUUUCAUGGUUACAAGUUAAUAAUGACAUAUUUCAUGUUUAUUGCCCUAAAUUUCACGUUCCUUUAGUUUCAAAACAAAACCCAUCACAGUACUUACGAGAAACAAAGUCUUCCAAAACUCAAGACCAGUCUUUGGAGGCUCCGCAACUCUGGUAGUCCAUGAGAUCAACAUCAUCAACGACCCACAAGGCAGGGACAGAGUUGAAGUCCACCAAGGAUAGGGAAGAUCAGCAACCCCGCCGUUGAUCGUUGCCGAAGAAGGAGAUCAGCCCGUGCUUGUGCCGCUGUUGAUCGUUGCCUACGAACUCCUUCAGUCGCCGCCGUUAAUCAUUGCCGACUUGCGCCGCUGUUGAUGGCCGUGGUGAGGCGUUUGGCGUGUGAGUGAAGCGGGAGACAGUGGAGAUGGAGACGUGAGCUGAGGGUGAGCUGUGAUCGCGAGGUGAGGAGUGAGUGGUGAGGACUUUUUGUUUGUUUCAUUUACCGAUUUUACAGGUUCCCUUUCCUUGUAAAUUUUUUAUUAUUUAAUACUAAAAUGAAUCUCAGCCAUUGGAUCCACUCCACUUAAUCCAACGGUAAUUUUUCAUGCAUGUAUCCGAUAUAUGCAGGUAUUGUAGCAUCAGCCGAUGAAAGUGCAUGAAGCGAGCAGGUGAUGAAGGGACGUUUCAGGCGGUUUCGACUUUCGUGCAUUAUUACUAACAACAAUAGUUAAGAAAGAUUAAUUAUUGUGGGGUGUGUGCUUGUGUAUGUAUAUAUUAGUGAAACAUUUAUUAUAAACAUAAAUUGAUAGUAUACAUAUAUAUUAUCAUGAGACACUAAGGAACGAGUUAGGUCGAGAUUUGCCAAAAAUUAAAAAGAAAAAAAAAAUUAUAACAUUUAUAUUACCAGGCAAGUUCUAAUAGCAUUAAUAUUACACAAGCUAAAGUCAUAGUCAUCCUCAUCCAUACGGGCAUAAACAUAUACUCGAUUAAAAAUUACCGUUUUCUUAUGUGGCUUUUAAAAUGAAUUAUAUUAUAUGGUAGGUUAUACAAGCAUAUAUGUUCAGUUCCAUUAACAUGCAUACAAUAUUAAUUAUGAGGGGUAA